GCCAGCAGCCAUAUCACCCUGCAACUCACAACUGGUAACCCACUGAAGCUAAACAGGUGUGAGCCUGGUCAGUACCUGGAUGGGAGACCUCCAGGGAAAAACUAAGGUUGCUGCUGGAA
ensembl:rRNA 5S_rRNA 5S ribosomal RNA